rnacentral:rRNA from 1 species
CCUGAACGCUGGCGGCGUGGCUAAGACAUGCAAGUCGCACGGACCCGCAAGGGUUAGUGGCGAACGGGUGAGUAAUGAAUCGCUAAUGUACCCCGGAUUCUGGGGAUAGCUAACCGAAAGGUUAGGUAAUACCAGAUGAUAUAACCGAACCGCAUGGUUUGGUUCUCAAAGGAGCAAUCCGCUCUGGGAGCAGGCGAUUUCGAUCAGCUUGUUGGUGAGGUAAUGGCNACCCAAGGCGACGACGCGUAGCCGGACUGAGAGGUUGGCCGGCCACAUUGGGACUGAGACACUGCCCAGACUCCU